ACAAUUGGAGCAUCAUUUCUCGUCAACAAAUGAGUGCAGCUGAUUUGGAGUUGUGGGAAGGAAGAGCUGAACAGUUGAGUUGAAUUGAUUUGAUGGGGAAAGGGAGAUGGAAGUGGAAUUGGGCAUCCUGUGGGGGAAUUCAUGGCGUGUGGAGCUAGCUGAUAUUUUCGGAUAUUUCCAUCCGUCAAAGGUUGGUGCAAUUCAAUUAUAUGAGUCACUGAGACCGAUUUGAUUGAUGAUAGCUUGAUUGAAUGAAUGAAUUCUUUCAUCAUCUUGUCUCCAUUCAUCCCCAACCUUAACCCUAACCCUAACCCUAAUCCUACUCCAAAAUUGGCGCAUCUAAUCCGAUGGUCGAACCAUGCUGGAAAGUUUGGACGCUUUGAUUUUGGUGGUCUUCGCAGUUUGGCCUCUGGUCUAUGAUUUCGAGAACGGUUUGUUUUUCCUGUGGUUAAUUUUGAGAUUACUCUGUCAGUUCGGUUAAGAAUCCGCAGUCAAAACUCUCAGGAAUUUUUACCUGAUUGAUUUGCUGCCUGUCGAAUUCCUUUCUACAUGUGUGCAGUGCCGUGGAAUAAGUUUUCCAGAUACUGUUGUUGUUUGUACCUUUUGCAUUAUUUCUAGGCCUUUCGAGAUGUUUGUGGUCCUGCGGAUAACAUUAUUCAAUGAUGAUUUUAUAUGAUUUCCCCUUUUUCCUUUAUGGAGUGGGUAGUUCUUCGUCUUCGGAAACCCCCAACUUGCCUCACAUGAAGUCUAAUCCUCAAGCUCAGAAAAUUCCCCCAAUCUCUGUUUAACAAGUGGCUCCCUCAGAUUUUUGUCGGUACCUAAUUCUUCGAUCCCGUCUUACUUUCUUCUCCUUGAUUAUUGGUUGUGCUGUAAUCGUGAAAAUUCUUCUCUUCGAUUUUUCGGAUCUGAGAUGAUAAGUUUGUUUUAGUGUGUUAUUGAAGAAGGAUUGGAUGAUUUGUUAGGUGAAAAUUAGGUUUCUGGUAGAGUUGAAUUGUGGUUGAUCUUGUAGAAAUUGUUGUGAUUGCGGCAAGACAGAUGAAUUUGUGGGGUUAGAGAUUUUGUGGUAUUCGAAGAGUUCGAAUUGGUAGGGUAAUGGAGAAGAAGUGUUGUACGACGGUAGUUUGGUUUCGAAGGGAUUUGAGGAUAGAAGACAAUCCAGCUUUGGCAGCUGCUGCAAGGGAUGGGAGUGUGUUGCCGGUGUUUAUAUGGUGUCCGAAGGAAGAAGGUCAGUAUUACCCGGGGCGAGUGUCGAGAUGGUGGAUGAAACAAUCGCUUAUCCAUCUGCAGCAAUCGUUGAAAUCUCUCGGUGCAGAGCUUGUGCUGAUUAAGACACAGAGCACUCUUUCUGCUCUGUUGGAUUGCAUCACUGCUGUUGGGGCGACGAGAGUUGUGUAUAACCAUCUCUAUGAUCCAAUUUCACUAGUUCGCGACCACAAUAUCAAGCAGAAGUUGAUCGAGCUUGAAAUUGACGUGCAAGGCUAUAAUGGCGAACUAUUGUUUGAGCCCUGGGAAAUCCGCGACGAUAAUGAUCGAGCUUUCACAACGUUCGACGCAUACUGGGACAAAUGCUUGAGCAUGCCAAAGGAACCCGUAUCACAUCUUCCACCGUGGCGUCUACUUCCCACAACUGGAACUGUCGAAAAUACGCCGAUCGACGCGCUGGGUCUCGAAAAUGAAUCGGAAAAGUCGAGCAAUGCUCUAUUAGGGAGAGGGUGGUCUCCGGGCUGGAGCAAUGCCGACAAGGCAUUCAACGAAUUUGUCGAGAAGCAUCUGUUCAAUUACUCGAAGGAUCGCCUCAGGGUCGGCGGGAACUCGACAUCGCUUCUGUCGCCGUAUCUUCAUUUCGGGGAGCUCAGCGUUCGAAAAGUGUUCCAGUUCGUGUGUCUGAAACAACUCGUUUGGAAGAAUGAGAAGAACGCUGACAGAGAAGAGAGUGCCGCGCUAUUUCUCAAGGCUGUGGGACUUCGAGAAUAUUCCCGAUACAUUUGCUUCAAUUUUCCCUUCACCCACGAAAAGUCGUUGCUUAGCAGCCUGAAAUUUUUCCCAUGGGACGUCAACCAGACCAAUUUCAAGGCUUGGCGACAAGGUCGAACCGGUUAUCCACUAGUCGACGCCGGAAUGCGAGAACUCUGGGCGACCGGGUGGAUCCAUAAUCGGAUUCGGGUAAUCGUUUCGAGCUUCUUCGUUAAAUUUCUUCUGCUGCCAUGGCAAUGGGGAAUGAAGUACUUUUGGGAUACACUUCUCGACGCGGACUUGGAAAGCGAUAUUCUUGGCUGGCAAUAUAUAUCCGGAAGCCUUCCCGACGGGCAUGAACUCGAGCGGAUGGAUAGCCCGCAGAUUCAGGGAUUCAAGUUCGAUCCGGAGGGUGAAUACGUGCGGCAAUGGCUGCCGGAAUUAGCUCGGAUGCCUACCGAGUGGAUUCAUCAUCCGUGGGACGCUCCUCCUGCCGUGCUUAAAUCCGCCGGCGUCGACCUGGGUGUGAACUACCCGAAGCCGAUAAUCGAUGUCGAUUUGGCGCGGGAUAAGUUAACGGAAGCUAUUGCGGUCAUGCGCGGAAACGAAGCGACGGAACGGGCGGCGAAUGAAGAAGUAUUCGACAACUCGGAUGUCAAUCCGAAGGUGGUUGUGAAAGAAAAGGGUCUCGGCCCGGUCAGUUCGUCGCUCGAUCAAAGGGUGCCAUCGAUGAGAAACUUAGAAAACGUCGUUCCGAAUAAGAAGAGAUCGAAAUCGAGGGAAGACGACAGGCCGGCGAGAGACAACUUAUGUAACAAUGGCAAAGGGGUCUCGAAAAUGGACGACGACGACUUGUGCUCGACCGCGGAAUCUUCUUCGACUAAGAAACAGACGACGAGCAGCCGGAUUUCGUUCUCCGUUCCUCAAAACUGUUCUUCGAUGUCGACAGAUGCGCCGUUUCGAGUUCUUGAUUCGUCGGACCUCGAGCUCAGAUGGCAAGACGAGAUCGGCGCGGAAGAGACGACGAGCAAAAAUGGAGCGACGAAUUUGCAGGUUUACGGGAAGCAGAAUAUCGGCGAGGAUGAAAGCCCGUCAUCCAAUCUAUGAACGUGCACGAGACGACAACGACGGCAUCGUCGACGAACAAUGUGUUGGUUCUCUCCCUGUAGAUAAGGUCUCAUUAAACAGGAACUGUCCUAACAUCCUUUGCACCCUCUGCUGCUUUGCUGUCGCCAUCGUCGUUGUCGAUGGUGUCCGAGUGCCCCCACGAACAUGAUGACAAAGCCUCCUUUAUCAUACGUCGAGAACAUGAACACGAACACGAACACGGUCACGACAAAGAACCCUAUCAAUUGGAUGGCGAAGCGCCCAAUUCUGUUGAUGGAAAAACAGUGAGCCAGUAGCUGCAACCGGUGCUGCAUAAGGCAAUCAGUGUCCGAGCCGGCAAAUACUCUUUCCGUUAACCUGAAAGAUAUACACUUUGCACAAAAUAUAUAUAUUUCCUCCGGCUCUAAGGAUCAUAUUUAUAUUUUGCGUGUUGAUUUCUGAAUAUUACUUAUUAUGUCAAAAUGUCGUACAAAUUAAGGAAAAAUACCAAAAAUGUUUCUAUUAGUGUCUUAUAAUACUAAUAUAAUGACAUUUGUACAAGUAUAAUAACACAAAUGAUAAAUGUAAUCCUUGUAGGCGGAUGGAGAUACUACUCCCUCCGUCCGGCUCUAAGGGUCUUAUUUAA